CUUUACUGUAGCCUGGUAUUGGGUUCGGGCUUUGACUGCGCAGGAUAGGUGGGAGACUGAGAAGUGUGCCUUGUGGGGCACAUGGGGUCAACGGUGAGAUACCACUCUGUCAGAGCUAGAAUUCUAACCUUCACCCGUAAUCCGGGGAAGGAACCGUAUCAGGUGGGCAGUCUGACUGGGGCGGUCGCCUCCUAAAAGGUAACGGAGGCGCGCAAAGGUGUUCUCAGGCUGGUUGGAAAUCAGCCGUAGAGUGUAAGGGCAGAAGAACGCUUGACUGUGAGAGUGACAACUCAAGCAGGGUGGAAACACGGCCUUAGUGAUCCGACGGUAUGCGCGUGGAAGUGCCGUCGCUCAACGGAUAAAAGUUA
rnacentral:rRNA from 1 species